rnacentral:rRNA from 2 species
UAGGGAAUCUUCCGCAAUGGACGAAAGUCUGACGGAGCAACGCCGCGUGAGUGAUGAAGGUUUUCGGAUCGUAAAACUCUGUUGUUAGGGAAGAACAAGUACGAGAGUAACUGCUCGUACCUUGACGGUACCUAACCAGAAAGCCACGGCUAACUACGUGCCAGCAGCCGCGGUAAUACGUAGGUGGCAAGCGUUGUCCGGAAUUAUUGGGCGUAAAGCGCGCGCAGGCGGUCUUUUAAGUCUGAUGUGAAAGCCCCCGGCUCAACCGGGGAGGGUCAUUGGAAACUGGGAAACUUGAGUGCAGAAGAGGAGAGUGGAAUUCCAUGUGUAGCGGUGAAAUGCGUAGAUAUAUGGAGGAACACCAGUGGCGAAGGCGGCUCUCUGGUCUGUAACUGACGCUGAGGCUCGAAAGCGUGGGGAGCAAACAGG